GUUGAAGACAGUUCAGGCCUGAUGGCAAACCACUGCUAUUUGAAAGGUCUAUUGUGAAGUUGUUGGCAACCAAAUUAACUUGUAAAUUUUGAUCAUUGACCCAGGAAGGUAAGCUGCCAGCUAAAUUAUUGUAUGAAACAUCUAUAUUUAGAAGUGAUGUACUCUUUUGUGCAGGAAGAGGACCAUCUAACUUGUUAUUUCCAAGAAACAAGAAAUUAAGCUGGCUCAAAUUGAAAAGUGUGUCUGGUAUCUGUCCAGUUAUGUUGUUGAAGCUCAAAUCCAACUGUGUCAAAUUCUGGUAUUCUCCAAUAUUG
rnacentral:misc_RNA from 1 species